GACGAACGCUGGCGGCGUGCCUAAUACAUGCAAGUCGAACGCAGUUGCGAACGGGUGAGUGACGCGUGGGUAACUGCCUGGUAGCGGGGGGUAACACUUGGAAACGAUAGCUAAUACCGCAUACUACCAGAUGGACCUGCGUUGUUUUAGCUGGUUGGUGGGGUAACGGCUCACCAAGGCAACGAUACAUAGCCGACCUGAGAGGGGGAUUCGGCACACUGGGACUGGGACACGGCCCAGACUCCCACGGGAGGCAGCCGUUGGGGAUCUUCGGCAAUGGACGGAAGGCUGACCGAGCAAAGCCGCGUGAGUGAAGAAGGUUUUCGGAUCGGAAAGCUCUGUUGUAAGGGAAGCGGUAUCUUACCAGAAAGGGACGGCUAACUACGUGCCAGCAGCCGCGGUAAUAC
rnacentral:rRNA from 1 species